UGGGGAAUCUUGGACAAUGGGGGCAACCCUGAUCCAGCCAUGCCGCGUGAGUGAUGAAGGCCUUAGGGUCGUAAAGCUCUUUCGCCUGUGAAGAUAAUGACGGUAGCAGGUAAAGAAACCCCGGCUAACUCCGUGCCAGCAGCCGCGGUAAUACGGAGGGGGUUAGCGUUGUUCGGAAUUACUGGGCGUAAAGCGCACGUAGGCGGACCAGAAAGUUGGGGGGUGAAAUCCCGGGGGCUCAACCCCGGAACUGCCUCCAAAACUAUUGGUCUAGAGUUCGAGAGAGGUGAGUGGAAUUCCAAGUGUAGAGGUGAAAUUCGUAGAUAUUUGGAGGAACACCAGUGGCGAAGGCGGCUCACUGGCUCGAUACUGACGCUGAGGUGCGAAAGUGUGGGGAGCAAAACAGGAUUAGAUACCCCUGGUAGUCCCACACCGUAAAACGAUGAAUGCCCAGUCGUCGGGGUAGCAUGCUAUUCGGUGACACACCUAACGGAUUAAGCAUUCCGCCUGGGGAGUAC
rnacentral:rRNA from 1 species